rnacentral:rRNA from 1 species
ACUUAGAGUUUGAUCAUGGCUCAGAAUGAACGCUGGCGGCAUGCCUAACACAUGCAAGUCGAACGAAGCCUUCGGGCUUAGUGGCGCACGGGUGCGUAACGCGUGGGAAUCUGCCCUUGGGUUCGGAAUAACAGUUAGAAAUGACUGCUAAUACCGAAUGAUGUCGUAAGACCAAAGAUUUAUCGCCCAGGGAUGAGCCCGCGUAGGAUUAGCUAGUUGGUGUGGUAAAAGCGCACCAAGGCGACGAUCCUUAGCUGGUCUGAGAGGAUGAUCAGCCACACUGGGACUGAGACACGGCCCAGACUCCUACGGGAGGCAGCAGUGGGGAAUAUUGGACAAUGGGCGAAAGCCUGAUCCAGCAAUGCCGCGUGAGUGAUGAAGGCCUUAGGGUUGUAAAGCUCUUUUACCCGGGAUGAUAAUGACAGUACCGGGAGAAUAAGCUCCGGCUAACUCCGUGCCAGCAGCCGCGGUACGCC